CCCUUAGAUGUUCUGGGCCGCACACGCGCUACACUGAUACAUGCAACGAGUUUAUAACCUUGAUCUGACGGUCUGGGUAAUCUUCAAACUGUAUCGUGUUAGGGAUCGAUUCUUGCAAUUUUUAAUCGUAAACGAGGAAUUCCUAGUAAACGCAAGUCAUCAGCUUGCAUUGAUUACGUCCCUGCCCUUUGUACACACCGCCCGUCGACUCUACCGAUUGAAUGGUUCGGUGAAAACUUUGGACUGUGGCAUUGUCCUUCAUUGGACUUCGCCGUAGGAAAUUGUUUAAACCUCAUCAUUUAGAGGAAGAAUAAGUCGUAACA
rnacentral:rRNA from 1 species